rnacentral:lncRNA from 10 species
UUCUCAGUCAGAUUGGACUUCUUGCCACCGCAGGGUUUUUACCUCUGCUAUUUCCACUGCCUGGCACCAUUUCUUCCUCUCAUCCUUAUCCUGUCUCAGCCUAUUCAGUCUUAGUCCAUUCGGGGUGCUAUAACAAAAUAGCAUAACUGGCCGCUUACAAACAACAGAAAUGUAUUAUCUCAGAAUGCUGAAAACAGAAAAGUCCAAGAUGAAGGCGCUGGCAAAUUCCGUGUCUGAUUUGUGAUAUCAGGGCCCUCCAGUGCAGGGUUCAGCGCAGGCCCCCUUGCUCUGGUCUAAGGAUGGUGUUGGAGGUGGUAACAUUAUUUCAACUCUGGAUCAAGCCAAGCUCAAAUCCAGUUCCUCAGAACAUUGCCAUUAUGCGCAUCCUCUUUUCCCCUUGAGGCAGUUUAUGAAGGGUUUUCUGCCAAGUGUAAGUAAAAGAGUCUCAACUGAUGUAGGGGCCUAAUAUUUCCUUUCAAGGAUCUGGGUAAUCACAGAGGCCCCCUCCUCCGGCCCCCAAAUUUCUCUGCUGUUGGUGCUAUGCAAACAAGUUUCUUUUGAAUUAUGAAUGAUCCUAUUCGUGUUUCUAAUUGUAUAUAUAUGGGGUACUUGCAAGUCUGUUCAGCCUUUUAAGCAAAUGUGUAUGUUACUGACAUUCUGAUUUCCACGGAAUUCUCCAUUUAUUCCAAAUGGACAUCAAGUCCAUAAAACAAUUCCUCUGGAGCAUCAGUAAAGAACAAAAUAGCAGGAAUAUGAAAAUUUCUGAACAGAAAAGUUGUAUUCCUGUUUUUUUUUUUUUUUUUUUUUUGCUGUUGUUAAUGGGAUGUUUCUAUGCAUGAACAAUGAACAGUCAGGAAAAGAAAUUAAGAAAACAAUUCCAUUUAGGAUGGCACCAAAAAGAAUAAAAUAGGAAUUGGCCGGGCGUGGUGGCUCACACCUGUAAUCCCAGCACUUUGGGAUGCCAAGGCAGGCAGAUCACCUGAGGUCAGGAGUUCGAGACCAGUGUGACCAACAUGGUGAAACCCCUUCUAUAUAAAAAUUAGCCAGGCGUGGUGGCACAUGCCUGUAAUCCAAGCUACUAGGGAGGCUGAGGCAGGUGAAUUGCUUGAACCCAGGAGGCAGAGGUUGCAGUGAGCCGAGAUCGCCCCACUGCACUCCAGCCUGGGCAACAAGAGCAAAACUCCUUCUAAAAAUAAAUAAAUAAAUACUUAGGAAUUUACCUAACCAAGGAGGUGAAUGACUUGUACACUAAAAAGUAUAAAACACUGUUGAAGGAAAUCAAAGAAGACACAAAUAAAUAGAAAGACAUUCUGCGUUCAUGAAUUGGAAGAUUUAAUAUUGUUAAGAUGUCAAUACUACACAAAGCCAUUUGCAGAUUUAAUACAAUCCCUAUCAAAAUAUCAAUGGUGUUUGUGGCAGAAAUAGAAAAAUAGAUCCUAAAAUUCAUAUGGAAUCUCAAGAGACCCCAAAGAGCCAAAACAAUUUUGAAAAAGAACAAAUUUGUAAGACGAAAGCAUCCUGAUUUCAAAAUACAUUACGAAUCUACAGUAAUUCAAACAGUGUGCUAUUGGUAUAGAGAGAAACAUAUGGACCAAUGGAGUAGCACAGAGAGCCCAGAGAUAAAUUCUUGCAUAGCCAAAUAUUCUUCAACAAGGGGGCCAAGACCACUUGAUGAGGAAAGGACAGUUUGUUCAACAAAUGGUGCUAGAAAAACUGGAUGUCCACAUGUAAAAGAAUGAAGUUAGACCCUUAUUUUAUACCACAUUACAUUAGUUAAAAAUUAACCUCAAACUCUAAAAUACCUUCAAGAAAACAUAGGAUAAAAACGUUAUGGCAUUGAAUUUCCCAUAUACAAUAAUUUCUCAUAUACAACACCAAAAGUACAGUUAAAAAAAAUAUGGAUGUGAGGGUGAUCUGGCUGUGGCACCUGUCACCCCAUUGAUUGCCAGGGUUGAUUUGGCUGACCUGGCUGACUAGGCACGUGUCCCCUUCCUCCCUCGCCUCCCGAAGCUGUGCGCUUGGUUUAAGAGGACAACCAUCCCAGAUAGAGGAGGACUGGUCUCCGGUCAAGGGUAUAAGAGUAGCUGCACUCCCCGGCUAGAACCUUCAAACAAGCUCUCAAGGUCCAUUUGUAGGAGAAUGUAGGGUAGUUAAGCUUCCAAGACUCCAGACACAUCCAAAUGAGGUGCUGCAUGUGGCACUCUGCCUUUCUUAAAAAAGGAAGAAAGAAAGAAAAAGAAAGAAAAAGAAAGAAAGAAAGAAAGAAAGAAAGAAAGAAAGAAAGAAAGAAAGACAAAUGAGACUACCUCAAACUUAAAAACUUGUGUGCAUCGAAAGACACAAUCAACAGAGUAAAAAGGCAACCUACAAAAUGGAAGAAAACGUUUGUAAAUCAUAUAUUUGGUAAGAGGUUAACAUCCAAAAUAUUCACAAUUAUUUAAUAUAUAAGUAAUUUCUACAACUCAACAACAAAAUAUCAAAUAAUCCUAUUUAAAAAUGGGCAAAAACCUAGGCACAGUGGUGCACGCCUGUAGUCAAAAGCUACUCAAGAGGUUGAAUUGGGAGGAUCACUUAAGUCCAGGAAUUCAAGGUGAGCCUGAGGAAUAUUGCAAGACCCUGUCUCUGUAAAAAAAAAGAUAAAUAAAAUAAAAAUAAUAAAAAGUUUAAUGAAAAAAAGAAAAAAAACUAUAAAAAAUGGGCAAGGGAGUUAUAUAGACAUUUUUCCAAAGAUGACAUACACGUGGCCAACAGGUACAUGAAAAGAUACCCAACAUCACUGAUCAUUAGAAAAAUACAAAUCAAAACCUCAAUGAGAUACCACCUAACACCCAUUAGGAUAGCUACUAUUCCCCCCAAUCCCCCACCCAAAAAAACCCCAGAAGAUGGCAAAUGUUGGUGGGGAUGUGGAGGCAUUGGAAACCCUGUGAAUGGCUGGCGGGAUAGCAAAAUGGUGUGAUUACCAUGAAAAACAGCAUGAUGGUUUCUCACAAAUUUAAAAAUACCGUUACCAUAUGACCCAGCAACCUCACUUCUGAGUACAUAUCCAAAAGAAAUAAAAGAAGGCUCUCGAAGAGAUAUUUGCAAACCAAUGUUCAUGACAGCAUUAUCCACAAUAGCCAAGAGGUGGAAGCAACCCAAAUAUCCAUCAAUGAAUGAAUAGAUAAACAAAAUUUGGUAUAUAUACAUGAUGGAAUACUAUGCAGCCUCAAAAAGGAAGAAAAUCCUGUCACAAGCUAUAACAUAGAUGAACCUUGAGGACAAAUACUGUAGAUUCCACCUACAUGAGGUUUCUGGAGGAGUCAAACUCAUAGAAACAGAAAGUGGAAGGAAUGAUGGUUACCUGGAGCUAUGGGGAAGGGAAAAGGAGAGCUGUUGGUUAAUGGGUAUUGAGUUUCAGUUCUGCAAGGUGAAAGAGUUCUGGAGGUCUGUUUCACAACAAGAGUGAAACUCCGUCUCAAAAAAAAAAACAUGGUUAAGAUUUUAAAAAUAGUCCAGUGAAACAUACAAUGAUCCUUUCUGUUAUCCAUC